rnacentral:rRNA from 1 species
AUUGAACGCUGGCGGCAGGCCUAACACAUGCAAGUCGAACGCGUGGCGGACGGGUGAGUAAUGUCUGGAAAACUGCCUGAUGGAGGGGGAUAACUACUGGAAACGGUGGCUAAUACCGCAUACCAUCCUCUGUGCCCAGAUGGGAUUAGCUAUUAGCUGGGGUAACGGCUCACCUAUGCGACGAUCCCUAGCUGGUCUGAGAGGAUGACCGGCCACACUGGAACUGAGACACGGUCCAGACUCCUACGGGAGGCAGGAGUGGGGAAUAUUGCACAAUGGGCGCAAGCCUGAUGCAGCAAUGCCGCGUGUAUGAAGAAGGCCUUCGGGUUGUAAAGUACUUGUAGCGGGGAGGCGGUACCCGAAGAAGAAGCACCGGCUAACUCCGUGCCAGCAGCCGCGGUAAUAC